rnacentral:rRNA from 1 species
AUUGAACGCUGGCGGCAGGCCUAACACAUGCAAGUCGAACGGUAACAGGAAACAGCUUGCUGUUUCGCUGACGAGUGGCGGACGGGUGAGUAAUGUCUGGGAAACUGUCUGAUGGAGGGGGAUAACUACUGGAAACGGUAGCUAAUACCGCAUAACGUCGCAAGACCAAAGAGGGGGACCUUCGGGCCUCUUGCCAUCGGAUGUGCCCAGAUGGGAUUAGCUAGUAGGUGGGGUAACGGCUCACCUAGGCGACGAUCCCUAGCUGGUCUGAGAGGAUGACCAGCCACACUGGAACUGAGACACGGUCCAGACUCCUACGGGAGGCAGCAGUGGGGAAUAUUGCACAAUGGGCGCAAGCCUGAUGCAGCCAUGCCGCGUGUAUGAAGAAGGCCUUCGGGUUGUAAAGUACUUUCAGCGGGGAGGAAGGGAGUAAAGUUAAUACCUUUACUCAUUGACGUUACCCGCAGAAGAAGCACCGGCUAACUCCGUG